rnacentral:lncRNA from 1 species
AUGGUUGUGUGCAUCGAUUGAUGCAGAGGCCGGGGUGCUCCCCCUUUUUUUUUAAAAAAGUAUUCUCUCCGUUCCUAAAUACAAGUUUAUAAAAAAAAAAUCUAUGAAACAAUAUCAAAUGGGUAUACUAUCAAAACAUAUAAUGAUAAAUUUACUAAAGCUAAUUUCCAGUUCUAGAUGUUGGUAAAAAAAAUUAUAAACUUGUUUGAAACUUAAUGAAGUUUGACUUGUAUAAAUCUAGAACUUCUUAUAAUUAGAAACAGAGUCAGCACUUAAUAUUGCUGUCUUUACACUGAAAACGAACGCAGAAAAAACGGUGA